rnacentral:tRNA from 1 species
UCCCUGAUGGCUCAGACGGUAAAGAAUCUGCCUGCAACGCAGAACACCUGGGUUCAAUCCCUGGGUCGGGAA